rnacentral:rRNA from 1 species
UUUCCCUACGGGGGGCAGCAGUGGGGAAUAUUGCACAAUGGGGGAAACCCUGAUGCAGCGAUGCCGCGUGGAGGAAGAAGGUUUUCGGAUUGUAAACUCCUUUUAUCAGGGACGAUAAUGACGGUACCUGAAGAAAAAGCUCCGGCUAACUACGUGCCAGCAGCCGCGGUAAUACGUAGGGGGCAAGCGUUAUCCGGAAUUACUGGGUGUAAAGGGAGCGUAGACGGUUAAGUAAGUCUGGAGUGAAAGGCCGGGGCCCAACCCCGGGGCUGCUCUGGAAACUAUUGUACUUGAUUGCAG